GAGGAAAGUCCGGGCUCUAUUUAUAAAUGUAUAGCUUUAUAAAAUAAAGUGUAGGUAACUAUAAGGAUAGUGCCACAGAAAUAUACCGCCUAAAUUUUUUAGGUAAGGGUGCAAUGGUGCGGUAAGAGCGUACCAAAAAUACUAUUAAAGUAUUUGUUAGGUAAACCCCGUAUUGGAGUAAAGAGGUUAGUAUAUAUAUAUAUUGAUGCUAUUUUUAUAAGUUUUAUAUCCUUUUUAUUUAAUUAAUCAUUUAUACUGCAUAAAGUAUUUCAUUUUACUUAAGAUUAAUAAUUACCCUUUUCAUAUUAAGUUAACUUGUAAUUUAAUUAUAGAAUUGAAAAGAACUAAACCCGGCUUAU
rnacentral:RNase_P_RNA from 1 species